rnacentral:rRNA from 1 species
GACGAACGCUGGCGGCGUGCUUAACACAUGCAAGUCGAACGGAAAGGCCCUGCUUUUGUGGGGUGCUCGAGUGGCGAACGGGUGAGUAACACGUGAGUAACCUGCCCUUGACUUUGGGAUAACUUCAGGAAACUGGGGCUAAUACCGGAUAGGAGCUCCUGCUGCAUGGUGGGGGUUGGAAAGUUUCGGCGGUUGGGGAUGGACUCGCGGCUUAUCAGCUUGUUGGUGGGGUAGUGGCUUACCAAGGCUUUGACGGGUAGCCGGCCUGAGAGGGUGACCGGCCACAUUGGGACUGAGAUACGGCCCAGACUCCUACGGGAGGAAGCAGGGGGGAAAAUUGAAAAAUGGGCGGAAGCCUGAGGCAGCAACGCCGCGUGCGGGAUGACGGCCUUCGGGUUGUAAACCGCUUUCGCCUGUGACGAAGCGUGAGUGACGGUAAUGGGUAAAGAAGCACCGGCUAACUACGUG